ACACACACACACAAAUCUAUUAACAUGGAAACUUUCCCCUUAAAAUGUACAAGUAUUACAAUAAGUGACAUAACUAUGCAUACAGCACUAAAUUACUUAACUUUUUUUAUUUUUUAAAAUAAUAAUACAAAAAAAUCAUUCAAGCCGUCCACUAUGGGGCCUAGGCUACAAUCUUCCAUGUAAAUGCAUUUAUAAACUUAAUUUAUGCUAUUGAUGGAAUAUUCCAAGUUCAAUGAAACUUAAGCUCUAUAAUUUAAUAGCCUGCAAGAUAGAUUAUGAUAUAAAUCUAGACCUUUGUGAUAUCAAAUAUUAUAGAAAAUAUGUCAGCAAUAGUCAAAUGCCAAUGGCCAAGAAGAUUCAAAAGUGAUAAAAGCAUUUGCUAAAGUUUCUGACAAUGCAUGGCUUUCAUGAUGCCACAACUUUUGAAUCAUAAGCCAACAUGUGCAGUGGGUGAGUGUCAGAAGACCAAAAACUGUCUAGUAAAGAAGUUUGACCAACAGGAGAAUUAAGUCCUACAACAGCAAUGGAUACAGACAAGUAGCAAAAGACUAGAAAAUGUAAUGAAAUAACUGCUUUUUGAUCAUUUUAUGAAGGACAGCUGAAGAAUUCUUGUGAUUUAUUUAAAGAUAUAAAAAAAAAAAAAAAAAAAAAAAAAAAUCCAACAAAGCCACAAUACCAUUUAAGCUUUAUUGUGAUAUCUGAUAGUUUACAAUACAGUGAAAACAGACAAAUGUGACUUUCUUUACUAGGACAGAAUGCAAAGCAAUGUAAUCAGUAAAAAGAAGAAAAAGCUUUUUUUUUUUUUGCAUUGAAGAAGAAAAAAAAAGAAGAAAGAAAAAACCAGGCACGACUUAAUAUAGCCAUUAUAAACACAACAUGCUUUAGACCUUAUAUUUUAACAGUCCUAAGAAAAGAACUCUGCAAACUUAUACAAUCGUUUCCUUUGCAUACCACUGUAGCCUAAACUAGAUGUCGUUUGAAUGACAAAUCUCAGAUUAACAGCUCUAGAAAUGUUUGAAACCAGUCACCAAAAGAAACAGCAAAAAAGGAAAGUAAACAGUCUUUUCUACCGCCAAUAUGAAUAUGUUGCUGUAAAAGACAAAUAACAAUUCAAAAAAAAAAAAAAAAACCUAACAAAUAAUAAUUUCCCACUUGGUAUUCAGAGAGGCCACAAACUCACUUUUUGGUUUGACCAAGUGAUUCAGAUUUCCAGAUUGGUUUCGUUUGAGCAAUGUCAUAUUUUUUGGUGCACAUUGACAGUGACUGGCUUUAAUCUAGUUCUGCUUCUGAAAGCCUUAAGGAAAGCUGUUUUUUUGUAAAACGGUCUGGGCCAAUGUUUCUAAUGUGAAAUUGCGGCAGGUGAAUCCAGCUCACCACUGACCAUGAUGCUAAAACACGACCAGCAGACAUUCUGCUAUUAGGCUCUCAACAGGAAACUAGCGAAAGAUGAAAAUCAACUUUAAUAUUAAAGAAAAAACAAAAGAUACAAAGCUCAUUAUCAUCAAGCUAAGAAAGCACACAUCAAAACACGCUGUGAGACAGCAAAAGAAGUGUCGUAAAGGAAACAGCACAGAGGAACUAGUGAACAACAGCAAAAACAGCUACAAAUAAAGUGAGGGAAGUUAGGGAACACGCAUACAUGCAUCCACACACAUACAACUCACUCUCUCUCUGUCGUCAUUCACACACAAAUAUAAAGCCAGAGGUACAGUGAACAAAAGUGCUUCAAGUCGGGGAAGUAGAGAAACUAACCCAGUAGAAAUAUGUAUAAAACCUUAAAUAUGUUACUUUAUGUACAAAACUGUGUGAGAGGGACAAUGAAUUGUCUGUAACUCUGUAUCAUCUUUCAAGUAAGAUAUUUCUACAACUAUUUUGUUUGCAUUGUCUUUGACUGAUUCGAAGGUCACGUGACCUGACUGACCUUAUCGUUGACGAACUCCGACUGAGGGUUCGCCACUCGUUCUACUAUUGCCCGCCGUCCCACCCGCCCUUAAGCAUGACAAAACCUCGAUAUUUAUUCAUAAUAUAUAUUUAUACUUGAUAGAAAUCUACAUUAAAUGCCCCUCUUUACCUCUACAGGAAGCAAGCUCCGCCCCCUCCCGCUCUAACCACCCCGCCCCCUUUUAUAUACUUUGCAGAAUACAACGACUGUUUCAUAACAUCUCUAGCUUUGACAUAGAACUAUGAAAAAAUACUGGAUCAUAUUAUGCUUCGGUAUAGACUUUCGAGUGGAUAGAGGUUCUGUGAGGUUCGUUUCCAAGUUCGUGUCGUUUUCGAGUUCCCGCAGAGCUUCUAGUAGAUGUGCUGGGUUCUCGGAGUCAUGCGCCGCACAACACAGGAGAGGGAGAUUUUUUUUAAUUUUUUUUUUAAUCUUUUGAAGAGGCACAAGAUUCAU